rnacentral:rRNA from 1 species
GUUUCCGUAGGUGAACCUGCGGAAGGAUCAUUACAGUAGUCAUCCGGGUUGCCGCAAGGCCUCCCGGGUAACCUACCACCCUUUGUUUAUUACACUUUGUUGCUUUGGCAGGCCUGCCCUCGGGCUGCUGGCUCCGGCCGGCGAGCGUCUGCCAGAGGACCUAAACUCUGUUUGUCUAUAAUGUCUGAGUACUAUAUAAUAGUUAAAACUUUCAACAACGGAUCUCUUGGUUCUGGCAUCGAUGAAGAACGCAGCGAAAUGCGAUAAGUAAUGUGAAUUGCAGAAUUCAGUGAAUCAUCGAAUCUUUGAACGCACAUUGCGCCCCCUGGUAUUCCGGGGGGCAUGCCUGUCCGAGCGUCAUUACAACCCUCAAGCUCAGCUUGGUGUUGGGCCCCGCCGCCCCGGCGGGCCCUAAAGUCAGUGGCGGUGCCGUCCGGCUCCGAGCGUAGUAAUUCUUCUCGCUCUGGAGGUCCGGUCGUGUGCUUGCCAGCAACCCCCAAUUUUUUUCAGGUUGACCUCGGAUCAGGUAGGGAUACCCGCUGAACUUAAGC